GAGAGCUGUUGUGGGUUUUGGUGGGCUGUGGCGCAGGCGGUAAAAGAAGCUUCCAGACACAAAGAAAAGUUGAAUAGCUGCGCUGCUACAGGCAAGAGUGGGCCACAGAGACGGGAGGUGACCGUGUGCGCGCCGGGGUGACCGUGCCAGGUGUUUUUUUGAGGAAAGGGCUGCGAACCCAGAGGGAUGGCGGAGCGUGGUCAUGCCGUGAACAGAUUUCUAUUGGCUACAAGUGAGUUGCAGGGAUCAUCCCUUGGAUCCACCACUCCAGGGUUAAGAGAGUGACUUCACCUCAGACAGAGGGUCCCUGGAGAAUUGAGAGCAUCCCAGGAGACCUGUUCAAGAUAAAGAUCAAGAGGGACCAGAAAAAGAUCGACGAGCCCUGCUCUAGGCACACCUGGAAGCUAGCUAGUCAACACACGGCCAAAGUUUGAGGAAAGCUCAACAAAACUGUUAAAUAUAUUCCUCUUGUGCUCCCUUGCCUCUUUCCUUGUUUGCUAUACUAGCCUGCAUAUUAGCAGUGGGGCUGGCCAGCACCACCCCUCCUGACUGGAAUAUAGGCCAUAGGAUCCUGAUAGCUAUUAUAUACCUUGUUAUAACUAGUGCCAUCACUGCAGCAUCAUGUCUAAGAUAACCAUAAGGCUGAUGUUACUGACGCUAAUGCCCUCACUCCCCUUGGCUUCACAAUGCACCUGCACUGAACCAGGUGACAUAUCGUCCAUGUACCGAUGUGUAUAUUCAGCUUAUACUUAUCAACCAAGCUGAUGCUAUGACUCCGCUUCAGAGUGCACAUAUCAGGGCAGAUCCUACUGGACUGGCAUGAUUAAGGCUUAUUAUGUAUCUGUCAUCAAGUGCUAUGGCACACCAGACAAGCUAGUGUGUUGGACCAAGCAAACACAUUAUGGGAUGAGUGAUGGAGGAGGAGUACAGGACCAGGCAUGCUGACAAGUAGUCCAACAAGCAGUCCGGAGGCAACACCAAAAGUUAUUACCUACCUGGGAGCCAAUAAAGCUUCUAUCUUUAGCCGAGCCUCAGGAUCUAGACCCACAAAUAGAUGAGCUGUUGGCUGCAGUCCAUGGGAUUCUCAAUCAUUCCAAUCCAGACAUGGCUAAAGAUUGCUGGUUAUGCUUACAUCCUGGCCCCAUCCAGCACCUGGCUUUACCUUUGACAAACUUCACUAAGACUUUCACUAUGACUAAUAGCGAUGCUGCCUCUACCACUAGGAGUUCCAGGCUGAACUCCAUACAGCUCACCUACAAGGCACCAGAAUGUUAUUUCAAUAAUGGAACUAAUCCUUUAGAGGGCAAUCUAACUAUAAAACAAUGUAUUAAAACCUCACACUAUAUGGGUCUAGGGUGCCAACCCACACAAGGAUGCUGUUCUAAUAAUGGUACUUAUUUUGUGUGUGGCAAAUUUGCCUACCAGUGCCUCCCGGCCGGUUGGGCAGAGUUAUGUGCUUUAGCUUAUCUCAUUCCCUGAAUGGACAUUAUGCCUAAUAAUCAAAGUCUGCCUAUCCCUGUCAUAACUCACCAGCAUCCAUGAAGGAUAAAAUGACCCAUACAACUGAUCCCCUUGCUAGUGGGUCUCGGAGUGGCAACAGGGGUAGGCACAGGAAUCGGUGGCAAAGCCUCAUCCUCUUAUUCCUAUUAUCAGCUUACAGGUGAGUUCAGCCAAGAUCUCCAAUGAAUAGCAGAAACCCUGAGAGCUCUGCAAAAUCAGAUUGACUCUCUAGCCAAGGUGGUCUUACAAAACAGGAGGGGUCUGGACCUACUGAUGGCCAAAGAGAGGGGAAUGUGCCUCUUCCUAAACGAAGAGUGCUGUUUUUAUGCCAAUCAAUCAGGAAUUGUCAGAGGGAUGAUUCAAGGGUUACAAGACAGAGUGGAAAAGAGGAAGCAUAUUUUAGGCAAGAGCCCAAAGACAGACCCCUGGAGCUGGAUCUCCUGGCUGGCACCGUUCACAAGUCCCUUUCUCCUAAUUUUUGUAGUUCUGCUGUUUAGGCCCUGUAUCCUAAACUUCCUGACCCGCUUUGUUGGUGAGCAGAUAGAGGUUAUAAAACUCCAGAUGUUAGCCUCCAAUUAUGAGCCCUUGCAACAGAUAAGUGAUGAUGCUUACUCCAAGAAAGGUUGUGAAAGCAUCAAGAGAGGGGAAUGAGAAGGAAAAGCCGGGCUGGGCUAACAAGCUAACUCAUAAAUCUAAGUGUAAUAAGUGUCAGUUUACUGAUCUCAGUUCUGCUGUGCUAACUCAUAAAUCUGAAGUUUAGUAAGUGUCAGUUUACUGGCUUAACAAGUUAAUUUGUAAAUACAAGGUCAACAAGUGUCAGUAACACCAUCUGUUUCUACAAGAUAAGUUCCAGUGUACUGAUUCCUUGCUUUUGCUGUUUACGCCUUAUUGGUUAAUAGCCCCAUCCUUGUAAUUAACCCUAUAAAACCUCAUGCACACGUCUUGAAGGUGCUCAGGGCUUCAAAGCAGAAGCCCUUCUGAGCCUGCUGACAUAAUAAAUCUGAGUACUCCAACCCUCCAA